GAGAGUUUGAUCCUGGCUCAGGAUGAACGCUAGCGACAGGCUUAACACAUGCAAGUCGAGGGGCAGCACAGGUAGCAAUACCGGGUGGCGACCGGCGCACGGGUGAGUAACGCGUAUGCAACUUACCUAUCAGAGGGGGAUAACCCGGCGAAAGUCGGACUAAUACCGCAUGAAGCAGGGGCCCCGCAUGGGGAUAUUUGCUAAAGAUUCAUCGCUGAUAGAUAGGCAUGCGUUCCAUUAGGCAGUUGGCGGGGUAACGGCCCACCAAACCGACGAUGGAUAGGGGUUCUGAGAGGAAGGUCCCCCACAUUGGUACUGAGACACGGACCAAACUCCUACGGGAGGCAGCAGUGAGGAAUAUUGGUCAAUGGGCGUAAGCCUGAACCAGCCAAGUCGCGUGAGGGAUGAAGGUUCUAUGGAUCGUAAACCUCUUUUAUAAGGGAAUAAAGUGCGGGACGUGUCCCGUUUUGUAUGUACCUUAUGAAUAAGGAUCGGCUAACUCCGUGCCAGCAGCCGCGGUAAUACGGAGGAUCCGAGCGUUAUCCGGAUUUAUUGGGUUUAAAGGGUGCGUAGGCGGCCUUUUAAGUCAGCGGUGAAAGUCUGUGGCUCAACCAUAGAAUUGCCGUUGAAACUGGGGGGCUUGAGUAUGUUUGAGGCAGGCGGAAUGCGUGGUGUAGCGGUGAAAUGCUUAGAUAUCACGCAGAACCCCGAUUGCGAAGGCAGCCUGCCAAGCCAUGACUGACGCUGAUGCACGAAAGCGUGGGGAUCAAACAGGAUUAGAUACCCUGGUAGUCCACGCAGUAAACGAUGAUCACUAGCUGUUUGCGAUACAGUGUAAGCGGCACAGCGAAAGCGUUAAGUGAUCCACCUGGGGAGUACGCCGGCAACGGUGAAACUCAAAGGAAUUGACGGGGGCCCGCACAAGCGGAGGAACAUGUGGUUUAAUUCGAUGAUACGCGAGGAACCUUACCCGGGUUUGAACGCAUUUCGACCGCUCUGGAAACAGAGCCUCUAGCAAUAGCGAUUUGCGAGGUGCUGCAUGGUUGUCGUCAGCUCGUGCCGUGAGGUGUCGGCUUAAGUGCCAUAACGAGCGCAACCCUUGCCACUAGUUACUAACAGGUGAUGCUGAGGACUCUGGUGGGACUGCCAGCGUAAGCUGCGAGGAAGGCGGGGAUGACGUCAAAUCAGCACGGCCCUUACAUCCGGGGCGACACACGUGUUACAAUGGCGUGGACAAAGGGAAGCCACCUGGCGACAGGGAGCGAAUCCCCAAACCACGUCUCAGUUCGGAUCGAAGUCUGCAACCCGACUCCGUGAAGCUGGAUUCGCUAGUAAUCGCGCAUCAGCCAUGGCGCGGUGAAUACGUUCCCGGGCCUUGUACACACCGCCCGUCAAGCCAUGGGAGCCGGGGGUACCUGAAGUCCGUAACCGCGAGGAUCGGCCUAGGGUAAAACUGGUGACUGGGGCUAAGUCGUAACAAGGUAGCCG
rnacentral:rRNA from 1 species